rnacentral:rRNA from 1 species
UGCCAGCCGCCGCGGUAAUACGAAGGGUGCUAGCGUUGUUCGGAAUUACUGGGCGUAAAGAGCAUGUAGGCGGUUUGAUAAGUCGGAUGUGAAAGCCCAGGGCCCAACCCUGGAAUUGCACUCGAUACUGUCAGACUAGAGUCCCGGAGAGGGUGGCGGAAUCCCCGGUGUAGAGGUGAAAUUCGUAGAUAUCGGGAGGAAUACCGGUGGCGAAGGCGACCACCUGGCCAGAUACUGACGCUGAGGUGCGAAAGCGUGGGGAGCAAACAGGAUUAGAUA